rnacentral:rRNA from 1 species
CAGGUCUUGACAUCCCACUGCCCGGUGUAGAGAUACACCUUUCCCUUCGGGGACAGUGGUGACAGGUGGUGCAUGGUUGUCGUCAGCUCGUGUCGUGAGAUGUUGGGUUAAGUCCCGCAACGAGCGCAACCCUUGAUCUUAGUUGCCAGCAUUCAGUUGGGCACUCUAAGGUGACUGCCGGUGACAAACCGGAGGAAGGUGGGGAUGACGUCAAAUCAUCAUGCCCCUUAUGACCUGGGCUACACACGUGCUACAAUGGACGGUACAGAGGGUUGCCAACCCGCGAGGGGGAGCCAAUCCCAUAAAACCGUUCCCAGUUGGGAUUGCAGGCUGCAACUCGCCUGCAUGAAGCCGGAAUCGCUAGUAAUCGUGGAUCAGCAUGCCACGGUGAAUACGUUCCC